rnacentral:rRNA from 2 species
GGGUUGUGAGGUUAAGCGACUAAGCGUACACGGUGGAUGCCCUGGCAGUCAGAGGCGAUGAAGGACGUGCUAAUCUGCGAUAAGCGCCGGUAAGGUGAUAUGAACCGUUAUAACCGGCGAUUUCCGAAUGGGGAAACCCAGUGUGAUUCGUCACACUAUCAUUAACUGAAUCCAUAGGUUAAUGAGGCGAACCGGGGGAACUGAAACAUCUAAGUACCCCGAGGAAAAGAAAUCAACCGAGAUUCCCCCAGUAGCGGCGAGCGAACGGGGAGGAGCCCAGAGCCUGAAUCAGCAUGUGUGUUAGUGGAAGCGUCUGGAAAGGCGCGCGAUACAGGGUGACAGCCCCGUACACAAAAGCGCAUGUGCUGUGAGCUCGAUGAGUAGGGCGGGACACGUGGUAUCCUGUCUGAAUAUGGGGGGACCAUCCUCCAAGGCUAAAUACUCCUGACUGACCGAUAGUGAACCAGUACCGUGAGGGAAAGGCGAAAAGAACCCCGGCGAGGGGAGUGAAAAAGAACCUGAAACCGUGUACGUACAAGCAGUGGGAGCACCCUUCGGGGUGUGACUGCGUACCUUUUGUAUAAUGGGUCAGCGACUUAUAUUCUGUAGCAAGGUUAACCGUAUAGGGGAGCCGGAGGGAAACCGAGUCUUAACCGGGCGUUAAGUUGCAGGGUAUAGACCCGAAACCCGGUGAUCUAGCCAUGGGCAGGUUGAAGGUUGGGUAACACUAACUGGAGGACCGAACCGACUAAUGUUGAAAAAUUAGCGGAUGACCUGUGGCUGGGGGUGAAAGGCCAAUCAAACCGGGAGAUAGCUGGUUCUCCCCGAAAGCUAUUUAGGUAGCGCCUCGUGAAUUCAUCUCCGGGGGUAGAGCACUGUUUCGGCUAGGGGGCCAUCCCGGCUUACCAACCCGAUGCAAACUGCGAAUACCGGAGAAUGUUAUCACGGGAGACACACGGCGGGUGCUAACGUCCGUCGUGAAGAGGGAAACAACCCAGACCGCCAGCUAAGGUCCCAAAGUCAUGGUUAAGUGGGAAACGAUGUGGGAAGGCCCAGACAGCCAGGAUGUUGGCUUAGAAGCAGCCAUCAUUUAAAGAAAGCGUAAUAGCUCACUGGUCGAGUCGGCCUGCGCGGAAGAUGUAACGGGGCUAAACCAUGCACCGAAGCUGCGGCAGCGAACGUAUCACCCAAGACAACUUUACGGAGUUGACGAUUGACGGAGCGAAGCGACGUCAAAGCGUUCAUUAAAGUCGAGUUGGCUUAGGGAUACGUUCGUUGGGUAGGGGAGCGUUCUGUAAGCCUGUGAAGGUGUGUCGUGAGGCAUGCUGGAGGUAUCAGAAGUGCGAAUGCUGACAUAAGUAACGAUAAAGCGGGUGAAAAGCCCGCUCGCCGGAAGACCAAGGGUUCCUGUCCAACGUUAAUCGGGGCAGGGUGAGUCGACCCCUAAGGCGAGGCCGAAAGGCGUAGUCGAUGGGAAACGGGUUAAUAUUCCCGUACUUGGUGUUACUGCGAAGGGGGGACGGAGAAGGCUAUGUUGGCCGGGCGACGGUUGUCCCGGUUUAAGCGUGUAGGUGUGUGUUCCAGGUAAAUCCGGUUCACUUUAACACUGAGGCGUGACGACGAGGCACUACGGUGCUGAAGCAACAAAUGCCCUGCUUCCAGGAAAAGCCUCUAAGCAUCAGGUAACAUCAAAUCGUACCCCAAACCGACACAGGUGGUCAGGUAGAGAAUACCAAGGCGCUUGAGAGAACUCGGGUGAAGGAACUAGGCAAAAUGGUGCCGUAACUUCGGGAGAAGGCACGCUGACACGUAGGUGAAGUGAUUUACUCAUGGAGCUGAAGUCAGUCGAAGAUACCAGCUGGCUGCAACUGUUUAUUAAAAACACAGCACUGUGCAAACACGAAAGUGGACGUAUACGGUGUGACGCCUGCCCGGUGCCGGAAGGUUAAUUGAUGGGGUCAGCGCAAGCGAAGCUCCUGAUCGAAGCCCCGGUAAACGGCGGCCGUAACUAUAACGGUCCUAAGGUAGCGAAAUUCCUUGUCGGGUAAGUUCCGACCUGCACGAAUGGCGUAAUGAUGGCCAGGCUGUCUCCACCCGAGACUCAGUGAAAUUGAACUCGCUGUGAAGAUGCAGUGUACCCGCGGCAAGACGGAAAGACCCCGUGAACCUUUACUAUAGCUUGACACUGAACAUUGAGCCUUGAUGUGUAGGAUAGGUGGGAGGCUUUGAAGUGUGGACGCCAGUCUGCAUGGAGCCGACCUUGAAAUACCACCCUUUAAUGUUUGAUGUUCUAACGUGGACCCGUAAUCCGGGUUGCGGACAGUGUCUGGUGGGUAGUUUGACUGGGGCGGUCUCCUCCUAAAGAGUAACGGAGGAGCACGAAGGUUGGCUAAUCCUGGUCGGACAUCAGGAGGUUAGUGCAAUGGCAUAAGCCAGCUUGACUGCGAGCGUGACGGCGCGAGCAGGUGCGAAAGCAGGUCAUAGUGAUCCGGUGGUUCUGAAUGGAAGGGCCAUCGCUCAACGGAUAAAAGGUACUCCGGGGAUAACAGGCUGAUACCGCCCAAGAGUUCAUAUCGACGGCGGUGUUUGGCACCUCGAUGUCGGCUCAUCACAUCCUGGGGCUGAAGUAGGUCCCAAGGGUAUGGCUGUUCGCCAUUUAAAGUGGUACGCGAGCUGGGUUUAGAACGUCGUGAGACAGUUCGGUCCCUAUCUGCCGUGGGCGCUGGAGAACUGAGGGGGGCUGCUCCUAGUACGAGAGGACCGGAGUGGACGCAUCACUGGUGUUCGGGUUGUCAUGCCAAUGGCACUGCCCGGUAGCUAAAUGCGGAAGAGAUAAGUGCUGAAAGCAUCUAAGCACGAAACUUGCCCCGAGAUGAGUUCUCCCUGAGACUUAGAGUCUCCUGAAGGAACGUUGAAGACGACGACGUUGAUAGGCCGGGUGUGUAAGCGCAGCGAUGCGUUGAGCUAACCGGUACUAAUGAACCGUGAGGCUUAACCUUACAACGCCGAAG